rnacentral:rRNA from 1 species
AAAAACAUCGCCUUUUGAAUAUAAUUUAAGGUUUGACCUGCCCAAUGAGAAUUUAAAUGGCCGCGAUAUUUUGAUCGUGCGAAGGUAGCAUAAUCAUUAGUUUUUUAAUUGGAAGCUGGAAUGAAUGGUUGGACAAGGAAAUAGCUGUCUCAAUUUUAUUUUAAUAGAAUUUUAUUUUUAAGUAAAAAAGCUUAAAUGAAAUUUAAAGACGAGAAGACCCUAUAGAGUUUGAUACUGAAUUUAUAAUUGAAUUGAGGAAUUAUUAUACUUUUAUAAUGUUUGUAUUUGGUUGGGGUGACAGAAAAAUUUAUUAAACUUUUUUUAUUUAAAAAUGUUGAUAGACAGUUUAUUGAUCCAUUAUUUGUGAUUAUAAGAUUAAAUUACCUUAGGGAUAACAGCGUAAUCUUUUUAAAGAGUUCAAAUCGAAAAUAAGGAUUGCGACCUCG